rnacentral:rRNA from 1 species
AUUGAACGCUGGCGGCAGGCCUAACACAUGCAAGUCGAGCGGAUGAAGGGAGCUUGCUCCUGGAUUCAGCGGCGGACGGGUGAGUAAUGCCUAGGAAUCUGCCUGGUAGUGGGGGAUAACGUCCGGAAACGGGCGCUAAUACCGCAUACGUCCUGAGGGAGAAAGUGGGGGAUCUUCGGACCUCACGCUAUCAGAUGAGCCUAGGUCGGAUUAGCUAGUUGGUGGGGUAAAGGCCUACCAAGGCGACGAUCCGUAACUGGUCUGAGAGGAUGAUCAGUCACACUGGAACUGAGACACGUUCCAGACUCCUACGGGAGGCAGCAGUGGGGAAUAUUGGACAAUGGGCGAAAGCUUGAUCCAGCCAUGCCGCGUGUGUGAAGAAGGUCUUCGGAUUGUAAAGCACUUUAAGUUGGGAGGAAGGGCAGUAAGUUAAUACCUUGCUGUUUUGACGUUACCAACAGAAUAAGCACCGGCUAACUUCGUG